GUAGUCUCGCACAGAUGCAUAUCAAUAAGCGGAGGAAAAGAAACUAACAAGGAUUCCCUUAGUAACGGCGAGUGAAGCGGGAAGAGCUCAAAUUUGAAAUCUUCAAGGUUUUACCUUGACGAAUUGUAGUUUAAAGAAGUGUUUUCUGUUGAAGUUUUGGUAAAAGUUCUUUGGAAUAGGACAUCAUAGAGGGUGAGAAUCCCGUAUUUGACCAUUAUUUUCAGCUGUGUGAUACACUUUCAAAGAGUCGGAUUGUUUGGGAAUGCAGUCCAAAAUGGGUGGUAAAUUUCAUCUAAAGCUAAAUAUUGGCGAGAGACCGAUAGCGAACAAGUACCGUGAGGGAAAGAUGAAAAGAACUUUGAAAAGAGAGUUAAACAGUACGUGAAAUUGUCAAAAGGGAAGCGUUUGACACCAGUGCUGUUUUCUCGAAGAUCAAUUAAAAAGAGUUCGAUUUUGUUGCGUAUUGACCUUAACAGCUUGCAUUUCAAUUUUCUUGCUUUUUUUAAUGCACUUUUCGUUUAACAAGUCAACAUCAGUUUCUUUUGUUGUAAAAAGGUCAUUGGAAGGUGGCUCUCUUUUCGGAGAAAGUGUUUAUAGCCUUUGACUCCUGCAAUCGGAGAGACUGAGGUCUGCAGCGUAGAUCCUUCGGGGUUAGAUACAUUUGUGCUAAGUUAUAGCUUUUUAUAGACAACUUGUUGACUAUGAUUAGUCUUGUAGCUUAGCUCGCUUAUGCUAUUUUACCUACGCUUAGGAUGUUGAGCGCAUGUCUCUCUC
rnacentral:rRNA from 1 species